rnacentral:rRNA from 1 species
CAUUUAUUGGUUCAGGAUGGGCUCUCGGACUAUCUAGUAGUUGGUGAGGUAACCGCUCACCGAGACUACCACUGGUAGCCCGCCUGAGAUGAUGACCCGCCACACUGGUGACUGAGACACCGACCCAUACUCCUACAGGAGGCAGCAGUGAAUAAAUAUUGCACGAUGGGCGAAAGCCUGAUGCAGCAACGCCUCGUGAGGGAUGACCGCCUUCUUGUUGUAAACCUCUUUUAAUAAGGAAGAAGCUAAAAUGACUGCUCCUGCAUAAAAAACACCGGUUAACUACU